AGCGAACGCUGGCGGCGUGCCUAACACAUGCAAGUCGAACGUGAAAGGGAGCAAUUCCAAGUAAAGUGGCGUACGGGUGACUAACACGUAGGUAAUCUACCCCAGAAUCUGGAAUAACCGGUCGCAAGGCUGGCCAAUACUUGAUAGAGCGACGGAAUCCGUAAUUGGGUUUUCCGGGAAAGGGAGCCCGUAAAAAGGCCCUCGUUCAUGGAUGAGCCUGCGUCCCAUCAGCUAGUUGGUGAGGUAAAAGCUUACCAAGGCAAUGACGGGUAGCUGGUCUGAGAGGACGAUCAGCCACACUGGAACUGAAACACGGUCCAGACUCCUACGGGAGGCAGCAGUGGGGAAUCUUGCGCAAUGGACGAAAGUCUGACGCAGCAACGCCGCGUGAGUGAAGAAGGCCUUCGGGUUGUAAAGCUCUGUCGAGUGGGACGAAAAUGCUUGGAGUUCACAGCUCCAGGAACUGACGGUACCACUAAAGGAAGCACCGGCUAACUCCGUG
rnacentral:rRNA from 1 species